UACGGGAGUGGCAAGCGUUAUCCGGAAUUAUUGGGCGUAAAGCGUCCGCAGGCGGUCUUGUAAGUCUGUUGUUAAAGCGUGGAGCUUAACUCCAUUUCAGCAAUGGAAACUGUAAGACUAGAGUGUGGUAGGGGCAGAGGGAAUUCCCGGUGUAGCGGUGAAAUGCGUAGAUAUCGGGAAGAACACCAGUGGCGAAGGCGCUCUGCUGGGCCAUAACUGACGCUCAUGGACGAAAGCCAGGGGAGCGAAAGGGAUUAGAUACCCCUGUAGUCCUGGCCGUAAACGAUGAACACUAGGUGUCGGGGGAAUCGACCCCCUCGGUGUCGUAGCCAACGCGUUAAGUGUUCCGCCUGGGGAGUACGCACGCAAGUGUGAAACUCAAAGGAAUUGACGGGGGCCCGCACAAGCGGUGGAGUAUGUGGUUUAAUUCGAUGCAACGCGAAGAACCUUACCAGGGUUUGACAUCCUGCGAAUCUUUUGGAAACAGAAGAGUGCCUUCGGGAACGCAGUGACAGGUGGCGCAUGGCUGUCGUCAGCUCGUGUCGUGAGAUGUUGGGUUAAGUCCCGCAACGAGCGCAACCCACGUCGUUAGUUGCCAGCAUUUAGUUGGGCACUCUAGCGAGACCGCCGGUGAUAAACCGGAGGAAGGUGUGGAUGACGUCAAGUCAUCAUGCCCCUUACAUCCUGGGCUACACACGUACUACAAUGCUACGGACAAAGGGCAGCAAACUCGCGAGAGCUAGCAAAUCCCAUAAACCGUGGCUCAGUUCAGAUCGUAGGCUGCAACUCGCCUACGUGAAGGAGGAAUCGCUAGUAAUCGCAGGUCAGCAUACUGCGGUGAAUACGUUCCCGGGCCU
rnacentral:rRNA from 1 species